rnacentral:rRNA from 1 species
UGGGGAAUUUUGCGCAAUGGGCUAACGCCUGACGCAGCAACGCCGCGUGGAGGAUGAAGGUCUUUGGAUUGUAAACUCCUGUCAGCAGGGAAAAAGCGACUCAGCCUAAUACGCUGGGGAGUUGAUUGUACCUGCAGAGGAAGCCCCGGCUAACUCUGUGCCAGCAGCCGCGGUAAGACGGGGGGGGCAAGUGUUCUUCGGAAUGACUGGGCGUAAAGGGCACGUAGGCGGUGAAUCGGGUUGAAAGUGAAAGCCGCCAAAAACUGGCGGAAUGCUCUCGAAACCAAUUCACUUGAGUGAGACAGAGGAGAGUGGAAUUUCGUGUGUAGGGGUGAAAUCCGGAGAUCUACGAAGGAACGCCAAAAGCGAAGGCAGCUCUCUGGGUCCCCACCGACGCUGAGGUGCGAAAGCAUGGGGAGCGAA